AUUGGGCCAUACAACUGGGGUUAUGGAUUUGUAUGCUGCCUGUUUGAUUAUGCAGAAGACUAGCAGACAAAGACUCCGUGUUUGUGCAGGGAAGCAGUAGAGGCAGUAGGCCAACAGUUUCACACUUGUUCAGCUCAGUGACAAUCAGGAAAAACUGGGAGAAUUAGAACUGAACAAAGAGGGGUUGCUUUAGGCCUGUCAGUGAAGAAGUUGUACGCUAAGAUGAUCUAUUUUCUAUGGUUUUAAUGUAAUGCUGGAGGGAAACUUGACAUGAUCUUAAUGUAUUUGAUGUGAUGCCUUUAUGUUCACUCUAGUUGUGUGUACAAAAUUAUGGAGAUGUAUGGAAUUGUUAUUUUGGAAUUGGGCUUCAUGUUCUUGAA